GCUGUGGUUUGAUAGGGGAAGCUGUUAAAGUGUAUGAGGAUCUUGAGCUUUGGGAUAACUUAAUAUACUGUUAUAGGCUAAUGGAGAAGAAAGCGGCAGCAGUUGAACUUAUCCAAGCUCGGUUAUCUGAAAGACCUUGUGACCCUAGGUUAUGGUGUUCCCUUGGAGAUGUUACAAGUGAUGAUAAAUGCUAUGAGAAAGCCCUAGAAGUGUCUGGGAAUAAGUCAGCUCGAGCACAGCGUGCCCUUGCCCGUAGUGCAUACAACAGGGGGGAGUACGAGAAGUCAAAAGAUCUAUGGGAAUCUGCAAUGGCAAUGAAUUCUAUGUAUCCAGAUGGAUGGUUUGCACUUGGUGCUGCUGCUUUAAAGGCUAGAGAUGUUGAGAAGGCACUGGAUGGCUUCACCCGUGCUGUUCAGCUUGAUCCUGAAAAUGGAGAGGCUUGGAAUAAUAUUGCUUGCCUGCAUAUGGUUAAGAAGAAAAACAAGGAAGCUUUUAUUGCAUUCAAGGAAGCAUUGAAGCUGAAGCGAGACAGCUGGCAGAUGUGGGAAAAUUUUAGCCGUGUUGCUGCAGAUAUUGGAAAUUUCAGUCAGGCACUGGAAGCAGUACAAAAGGUAUUGGAUAUGACGAAAAAGAAGCGAAUCGAUGUCGAAUUACUGGAGAGGAUGUUGCAAGAGUUGGAAUUACGGACUGCAACUAGCCAUUCUGAAUGCGAUGCUUUGAGGGGUAGCAGUGACUCUUCCGAGGCGGGCUCCGACAUCAUUAGUGUUGAUCCAUUGACCAGCUCGGACAAAGAUCUGGCAAUAGAACGGGAAACUGAGCACUUGAUUCAGUCAGUGGGUAAAAUCUUACGGCAGAUUGUUCAAACUGGUGGGAAUGCUGAGAUUUGGGGGCUCUAUGCGAGGUGGCAUAAACUCAAAGGAGAUCUUGCGAUGUGUUCAGAGGCUUUUCUUAAGCAAGUCCGAUCAUACCAGGGAUCUGACCUAUGGAAGGAUAAAGACCGGUUUUCAAAGUUUGCACAUGCCUCGUUGGAACUCUGCAAGGUUUACCAGGAAAUAGCUCGGCGUAAUGGUAGCCGUAGGGAGUUGUCUGCCGCCGAGAUGCACUUAAAAAACACAAUCAAGCAGGCCGAGGCUUUCUCCAACACCAAAGAGUAUCAAGAUAUCUUGGCAUGCCUUGAUGAGGUGAAGGCAGCACAAGCUACACCCUGAUCAUAUGCUUUCUUCCUGAGUCAUUUAUUCAAAAGGCGAAAUCGACAACUCCUGGACAGACAUAUCGGCUAAUACGACAUUUUUCUCUGCGCAAGAUAAAUGAAUAGCUCUUGUUUUCAGGGGAAAAAAGAAGGUCCUCUCUAUUUCAUUCCAAACUUAUGAACCUACAGUUUUUCAGUUUCCAGGGCAAAAUUAAUGUUAUGUACUUAAAAAAGGACAUACAAUUGUAACCCUCUUGAUCAAGUAUGCCGUGAAGAAAUUCAACGUCCAAACGUUGAGACCUAUGCAUCCUUUGAUUCAUGAGGGGAAGAUCUGUAGACUGUAGUAUAUUAUAUAUAUGUCAAUGUCUCAUUCUGGAUAAGUGGUUUUGCUAGUUCAUUGUAAUUUAGGUUGGUCAAUGUCAUAAAUAAUUUAUAGAUCUAUCUCCUUUAUUUUU
rnacentral:misc_RNA from 1 species